CCGAGUCUCUCUUUUUUUGCCGGCUGAGAGAGGAAAACACGCGCGCGCACACACCGUGAUAUCUUGCGGGUGAUGAAUAUGAUAAUUGGACAAGGGACGCCUGGAAAAGGAUUAUCCCUACUGUAUGGAUAAGUCUCAUUUCCAGUCUCCAGAUGUUCAAGGCCACCAAGCUGAGACUGAAAAACCUGGAGCAAGAAGCUACACUUUACAGAGGGCAUACUUCUGUAGGCCUACAUCUCUGGCUACUCCUCACUGUGGAGCUGGCUUCUCCCAUUCCCGGUGUGUUGAGGACUCC